CACGUAGGAGGCGAGCGUUGUCCGGAAUCAUUGGGCGUAAAGAGCGCGCAGGCGGCUUGGCAAGUCGGGGUGUGAAAUCCCCGGGGCUCAACCCCGUGACUGCAUCCGAUACUGUCAGGCUAGAGGUAGGUAGGGGAGAUCGGAAUUCCUGGUGUAGCGGUGAAAUUGCGUAGAUAUCUGGAGGAACACCGGUGGCGAAGGCGGCAUCCUGGACCGGCAUUGACGCUGAGGCGCGAAAGCUA
rnacentral:rRNA from 1 species